AUUGAACGCUGGCGGCAUGCCUUACACAUGCAAGUCGAACGGCAGCACGGGGCAACCUGGUGGCGAGUGGCGAACGGGAGAGUAAUGCAUCGGAACGUACCUUUCAGUGGGGGAUAACGUAGCGAAAGUUACGCUAAUACCGCAUAUUCUGUGAGCAGGAAAGCAGGGGAUCGCAAGACCUUGCGCUGAUUGAGCGGCCGAUGUCAGAUUAGCUAGUUGGUGAGGUAAAGGCUCACCAAGGCGACGAUCUGUAGCGGGUCUGAGAGGAUGAUCCGCCACACUGGAACUGAGGCACGGUCCAGACUCCUACGGGAGGCAGCAGUGGGGAAUUUUGGACAAUGGGGGCAACCCUGAUCCAGCCAUGCCGCGUGAGUGAAGAAGGCCUUCGGGUUGUAAAGCUCUUUCGGCCGGGAAGAAAUCGCACGGGCUAAUACCCUGUGUGGAUGACGGUACCGGAAUAAGAAGCACCGGCUAACUACGUGCCAGCCGCCGCCGUAAAAC
rnacentral:rRNA from 1 species